GCAUUGGUAGUUUAGGGGUAGAAUUCUUGGUUUCCAUGCAGGAGACCCAAGUUCGAUUCCCAGCUAACGCA
rnacentral:tRNA from 1 species